CUUCGUUCUGUCGAGAUCCACUCAUCCUAUCUAUUAUGGCCUUCACGUAUUAUUUUACGUUCUAUAUUUAAUUUAGGCCCACGACGCCUCUUAGUGGACAUGGUUAAUCCAAACCUAAAAUAAACAUAAUAAUUUGUCAUGUUCCUCAUCACCACCUAUAAAAUGACAAAUAUUAUUUAGAAGAAUUUAUUUUCAAUUUUAUACAAUUUGCAUAAAAUGAUAUGUAUUAAAGUCAGUGAUAACAUAUAACAGAGAGAGCAUAUUCUGAAUUCAGAAUACUCGAACAAAAGGCAAAAGCUAGGGAUGCUGGAUCGAUCGAGCCCUGCUGUGAGUCAUGUACCAAUUAAGCACCUAAGGAUGGUUUUCCUAUCCCGAAGAACCUUAAGGGCGGAGCCUGACAGAAAAACCAUAGGGUAGCUUCUGGCAGUCUGCGCAUUGAAAGAUGCCUCUCUAUAUAUCCCUAUUGGUCCGCGCAGACCAUUUGUGUGGUAUUGAUCGACAAAAAUUAUAACGCAAUCCAUUGAACACUACAGUCAACCCCAAAUGCAGCUCAGUUUCUAGAAUAAAAUCACUGCAGACUAGAAUUUUAUUUUGACAGGAUGGAUAGAUAUUAAUAGAUCUAUAGGGUGAGGUAUCCUAGGCAAAGAAAAGGCCAUUAUAUCUCAAAAAGGUUUGGCUCUUUGUUAUGACGGGCUAUAGAAAUAUGAUUUCAUAAGCAUCCUGCUGCAGCCAUUUAUGUAGUAUAUAUCUAGAAAGCAAGCUAUAAUCUUAUAUUAACAAUGUAUUUAGCAGCAAUGUGGAAUACUAAAAUGGCUUUAACAUACUGAGAUUUUACAAAAAUAUCAAUGUUAUUUAAAUCAUUCACUGAAUUUUACAAGUAAGGAUUACCAUUCUACUCCAGUUAUUUGAAAAAAACUAAACAUCUACACCUAUGCAUUCAUUAAAGCAACAAGAUGUAUACUGAAGUACUUCUGCCAAAAAAACUUUUCGUAUUAGGUGCAGUUAAAAAGAACAUUAAGAAUUCGAUAGUAAAAACUGGAAUAUACAGCACAGAAAUACAUAUGUAAGGGAAAAUAUGAAAUGAAAAGCUGUCAUAAUGAAUCAUCUCACUUCAGUGCACAUUUACCUGCGUUAGGGGAUGAAAAGGAAUGUACAUACCAUUUUGCCAACGCUUUCCAACGAGUGACCUUGGAAUCUUUAUAGCCG